AGAUUAUUAGGUUGAGGGAAGGCCAUAUCAACCACUCUCAGUUCGGAUUGUAGGAAACAACUCGCAAACAUGAACCUGGAAACAUAUAAAUCUCGGAUCAACAUGCCGCGGUGAAUACGUUCCCGGGCCCUGUACACACCGCCCGUCACACCACGAGAAUUUGUAACACCCGAAGUCGAUGGAGUAACCGUAAGGAGCUAGCCGCCUAAGGUGGGACAGAUGAUUGGGGUGAACUUUCAUUAC
rnacentral:rRNA from 1 species